CAUGCGACUUAAGUACAAGUCAGGAGUCAGCGACAAAGCAGCACGCUAAAUAGUUUUGGGCUUCAUACAAUGCUUAAAUAGUUUUGGGCUUCAUACAAUGCUUAAAUAGUUUUGGGCUACAUACAAUGAUAACAUGUCUGUUUGUUGGCUUGUCAGUCAGGAGGAAACGCACAAACCAAUUAUGUUGCCCCAUCUUCAGCCAGUUGUCCUGGGUCGAGGGCCAGAAACCACCAUUAAAGACAAGAAGUGCUCCAGGGAGCAAGUUGAAUUGAAAGCCGACUGCAACAAAAGCCUUGUCAGUGUUAAGCAGCUGGGCGUCAACCCCACCUGCAUAGGCUCCCGGGUGUUGGGUCACGGGAAGGAGGUGAAAAUGAAGGCCGGAGAGUUGCUUUACAUUGUCAAUGAGCUGUACCCUUACACCGUGCAGUUCAAGGAAGACAGCGGGGGGCUUUCUGGAAGCCGCAAAAGACCACUGGAGAUGUCUACAGCGGAGAAAGAAAGCCACAAAGAGGCUGCGAGUGUGAAGGCGGCCAAACAGACGGAAGAAUUAUCCAGUGGGAGAAGUGAAAGUGUUGGCCAUUGGAGCCAAGGCCUGAAGGCGUCGAUGCAGGACCCCAACAUGCAGGUGUACAAGGACGACCAAGUGGUGGUCAUCAAAGACAAAUACCCCAAGGCGCGUUACCAUUGGCUGGUCCUGCCGUGGGUGUCAAUUGCGAGCCUGAAGGCCCUGCGCAAGGAGCACUGCGGCCUGCUGCGCCACAUGCACGGCGUGGCUGAGCAGAUGGUGCAACGGUGCCCACGGGCCAGGUCCUUAGACUUCCGCAGUGGCUACCACGCCAUUCCCAGCAUGAGCCAUGUGCACCUCCAUGUGAUCAGCCAAGACUUUGACUCUCCUUGCCUGAAGAACAAAAAGCACUGGAACUCCUUCACCACCGAAUAUUUCAUCAAUUCCCACGACGUGAUCGGCAUGCUUGAAAGCGAUGGAAGGGUGACAGUCAGAGAAGGCACCAGUGACUUGUUGAAGGCACCCCUCAGGUGCCACCUGUGUCGCCACCAGCCUGCCACUAUACCUGCUCUGAAACAGCAUCUGAUGUCUCACUUUCCCAGCUGAGAGUGACGCCCUCAAACGCAACACAGUCGUCAUAGGUAAGGGGUGUCCAAACUUUUUGCAGCUGAAUGUACAGUGGGACCUCCAUUUACCAACCUAAUUGGUUCUUGAACAGGGUUCGUAAAUCAAAAAGUUCGUAUAGUGAAGCAGUUUUCUUCCUAGGAAACAAUGUAAAUAUAAAUAAUUGGUCCCAGCCUCGACAAAAGUCCAUAUUUUAGUGAAGGUUUGUAGACUUUGAACACAGCCAUCUUUUUAUUAACAAGCCAAAACAACGACAAGCUGAACUGCUGUAUGCCAACACGCGCACACACACGCAGAAGUCCCUUUGGUGCCCUCACAAACAAUUAGAAAUCACCAAAAUCCUUCACUUUAACAAGCCAAAACAAAAACGACAAGCUGUUGUCCUCGGUAUGCGCUGCUCUGCCAACACGCGCACACACACACGCAGAAGUCCCUUUGGUGCCCUCACAAAGAAUUAGAAAUCACAAAAAUCCUUCACUUUAACAAGCCAAAACAAAAACGACGACAAGCUGCUGUCCUCUGUAUGCGCUGCUCUGCCAACGUGCACACACGCAGAAGUCUCUUUGGUGCCCUCACAAACAAUUAGAAAUCACAAAAAUCCUUCACUUUAACAAGCCAAAACAACGACAAUCUGCUGUCCUCUGUAUGCGCUGCUCUGCCAACACGAGCGCACACGCAGAAGUCCCUUUGGUGCCCUCACAAACAAUUAGAAAUCACAAAAAUCCUUCACUUUAACAAGCCAAAACAAAAACAACGACAAGCUGUUGUCCUCUGUAUGCGCUGCUCUGCCAACACGUGUACACACGCAGGAGUCUCUUUGGUGCCCUCACAAACAAUUAGAAAUCACAAAAAUCCUUCACUUUAAGAAGCCAAAACAACGACAAGCUGCUGUCCUCUGUAUGCGCUGCUCUGCCAACACGCGCGCACACGCAGAAGUCCCUUUGGUGCCCUCACAAACAAUUAGAAAUCACAAAAAUUCAACUUUAACAACCAUAUUGCGACGAUAAUAAACAUUUAAAAUGUAAAAUUCACUUACAUUAACAUCAGCAAAGUAGGAACCGACAAGAAAAGACCAGACAGAGGGGGAGAGAGAGGAGGGGCCGUGUGUGUUUGUGUGUGCGCUUGAAAGAGGCGCAGCUGAAUGAAAAGUAGCUUGUACCCUCCGCUGUAAAAUAAGUCUGCUUUGGCAUAUUUUUCCAGAAAAGUCUGGUGUCACCACAAUUAAUACUUGUUGUGGUACAAAGCCUGCUUUGUUGAUUCUUCCAUACUUGUGAGCGCCAUUAUUGUACUCCUUGCAAAUAUAUAUAUAUUUUUUUAAACUCCCUCCUUCUAGUUUGUUGUCUUUUUGAGACUCAUAUUGAGUUAGCAAAAUGGACAAAACUUGUCAUAAAGCGAAAAAACACAGAAAACACCCACGCUAAAGCGCUGAGAAGUGACUAGUAGUGUACUGAGAAGUGACUAGUAGUGUACUGAGAAGUGACUAGUAUUGUACUGCGCAGCAAGUCACCUGGAAGGCUCCGCCUCCCCAGAAUUCUGCACCCUGCUUUUUGCCUGCAGGCGGGACACAAAAUGAAGUGUUCGCACACACUUGGCUCCAUCUAAAAGUUCGGAAAAUCGAAAAGUGUGCAAAUAAAGGGGUUUGUAAAUCGAGGUUCCGGUGUACUUACUUCCAUGAAAAGUAAGUCGGACAAUAAAUGAGCUGCAACAGGCCAUACAUGGACCCUGGGCCACAUCUUGGACACCCCUGUCAUACCUUCAUUAAAACCCUCUACAUUGAUUGGACAUUUUACACAAAUUUGAUCAAUUUGUUUGUUUGGAUUAAAGAAGUAAAAAAGGAUAGUGUCUAUUAAGGCUGUCUUCAAACAAAGGACAAUUCAGUUUGGAGGUAUCCUCUUGACAAAGUUCAUUAUCCUUUCCAGUAAAAACUGUUACGAUGUUUACUUCCUCUAUUUAGUCAAGUUCGAUGUCCUCUGGUGCUGUGGCAGAACUGAGGACCUUACAAACGGUGCUUUAGCCUUUUUUUGAGGUGGUAAAAGUUGAAAAUCAGAUCUUUGUUUUGUUCACUUUAACGAAAGACUGCAUUCCUUGAACUAACUGUGGAAUAUUCAAGUAAGAAGUUCAAAUACAAUUCUGCUUAGGGUCCCAAUUUAGCCCAAAGACCUCACUAUCUUGCAAACAACCAAUAUCUGAACCCAGGAAGUGUCGCUUGAACUUUAGUGCUAUGAAACUGAACUGAACCAAACCAGUUUGGUCGCCACACAGCAGAGGGCGCUGUUUCUACCGGUUUACUCUGGAUGGACAAUAUUUUUUAACGCUUUUCCCCCCCCUAAGAUGAAUUCAAAUAGUAUCUUUUCCAUAUUGAUUAGGUUGAACCUUUUUUCAGCAAAGCAUUUUUGUUUGGAAAAUAAAGAGACGUAAAACACAAUAGUAUUUUUGAUUUAUUGCUGUCCAAAACUGUCUUUCUUUAAACAUUGAGAAUACAAAUAUUUAUAAAAUAAAGAUUUGUGCACAUAAAGUAAUCAUGAACUCAAAGUGCCGUCUUUUGGGAUUAUAAUUAAGAUGUCUUCUUAUAUGCUAUAAAAACUAUAAAUAUAUAAUUCUCAGUUGCAAUUACAUGUUAUGUACAGUAUUGUCCAUAUCUCUGAAAGGAGUCAACCUACAAAACUGGCAAAGUAUGAAAUACUUUUGUUGAUUUUUAGAAUGACAGAGCAUAACAUAACUUUUAUAUAUUGUGAUUGACCACAUGCUGUACUUACUCAUCUGCAGAGAGCACCGGGCAUGCACUACUGCCUUCUGAAAUACAUCUCCUAUUGAGAAGUCCCACAUCCUUGUGUGGAGCUCAGCCGACGACAAGGAUCUGGCCAGAGUCAGGACGGGUCGCGGGGGCAGCAGCCUAAGCAGAGAAGGUCAGACUUCCCUCUCGUCAGAUACUUUGUUCAGCUCCUGCCGAGGCGUUCCCAGGAUAGCUGGGAAAUAUUAGUCUCCCCACCCCAACGUGUCCUGGGUCUUCCCCGUGGCCUCUUACCGGUCGGAGUUCCCUUAACACAGGG